UGAGGUAUAGCUCAGUGGUAGGGCACCUACCUGGCAUGCAUGAAACCUGGGUUCUAUUCCCAGCACCACAG
rnacentral:tRNA from 1 species